UGUGGAUAGCGGAGAAAUUCCAAUCGAACCCGGAGAUAGCUGGUUCUCCUCGAAAUAGCUUUAGGGCUAGCCUCGAGAACUAGGAACAUGGGGGUAGAGCACUGAAUGAGCUAGGGGGCCUCAAAGCUUACCGAACUCUAUCAAACUCCGAAUACCAUGUGACCGAUACUCGGGAGUCAGACUACGUGAGAUAAGUCUCGUGGUCAAAAGGGAAACAGCCCAGACCAACGACUAAGGUCCCAAAGUGCAGGUUAAGUGGAAAAGGAUGUGCAAUUGCUUAGACAACCAGGAUGUUGGCUUAGAAGCAGCCACUCAUUUAAAGAGUGCGUAAUAGCUCACUGGUCGAGUGAUUGUGCGCCGAAAAUGUACCGGGGCUAAACCUGCCACCGAAGUCUUGGAAUUCAGUUUACUGGAUUGGUAGAGGAGCAUCGUGCAUGGGCUGAAGCAUGACCGGAAGGACAUGUGGACUGUGCACGAGAGAGAAUGCCGGCAUGAGUAGCGAGAGCAGAGUGAGAAUCUCUGCCGUCGAAAGCCUAAGGUUUCCUGAGGAAGGUUCGUCCCCUCAGGGUAAGUCAGGACCUAAGCCGAGGACGAAAGUCGUAGGCGAUGGACAACAGGUUGAUAUUCCUGUACCACCUUAACACGUUAUACGAUGCAGUGACACAGAAGGAUAGGCAAAGCGGGUUGAUGGUAGAACCCGUCCAAGCACUGAGGGUGCAGCGUAGUGAAGUACGCGCUGUGAUAAGCCUGGGGUGUGAUGGGGACAGAAAAUAAGUAUGGAAGUUGCUGAAUUCACGCUGGCGAGAAAAGCUGCUAAGGAGUGUUAUUGGUGCCUGUACCGCAAACCGACACAGGUAGGCGAGGAGAGAAUCCUAAGACGAGCGGGAGAACCCUUGUUAAGGAACUCGGCAAAAUGACCCCGUAACUUUGGGAGAAGGGGUGCCUCGAAAGAGGCCGCAGUGAAUAGGCCCAAGCGACUGUUUAGCAAAAACACAGGUCUGUGCCAAGUCGAGAGACGAUGUAUACAGGCUGACGCCUGCCCAGUGCCGGAAGGUCAAGGGGAAGUGUUAGGGCAACCGAAGCACGGAACUUAAGCCCCGGUGAACGGCGGCCGUAACUAUAACGGUCCUAAGGUAGCGAAAUUCCUUGUCGGGUAAGUUCCGACCCGCACGAAUGGCGUAACGAUUUGGGCACUGUCUCAACAAGGGACCCGGCGAAAUUGUAGUAUGCGUGAAGAUGCGCAUUGCCCGCGAUAGGACGGAAAGACCCCGUAGAGCUUUACUGUAGCUUGGUAUUGGAUUUUGGCAGCGCUUGUACAGGAUAGGUGGGAGGCUAGGAAACGAGGACGCCAGUUUUCGUGGAGCCACCGUUGGGAUACCACUCUUGUGUUGCUGGAGUUCUAACGUCGCGCGGUUAUCCCGGUGACGGACAGUGCCAGGUGGGCAGUUUGACUGGGGCGGUCGCCUCCUAAAAGGUAACGGAGGCGCCCAAAGGUUCCCUCAGAAUGGUCGGAAAUCAUUCGCAGAGUGCAAAAGCAGAAGGGAGCUUGACUGUGAGAGAGACAUCUCGAGCAGGUACGAAAGUAGGGUUUAGUGAUCCGGCGGCAUUAAGUGGGUUAGCCGUCGCUCAACGGAUAAAAGCUACCUCGGGGAUAACAGGCUUAUCUCCCCCAAGAGUCCACAUCGACGGGGAGGUUUGGCACCUCGAUGUCGGCUCGUCGCAUCCUGGGGCUGAAGCAGGUCCCAAGGGUUUGGCUGUUCGCCAAUUAAAGCGGCACGCGAGCUGGGUUCAGAACGUCGUGAGACAGUUCGGUCCCUAUCCAUCGUGGGCGUAGGAAAUUUGAGAGGAGCUGUCCUUAGUACGAGAGGACCAGGAUGGACAUACCUCUGGUGCACCGGUUGUUCUGCCAAGGGCAUAGCCGGGUAGCUAAGUAUGGACGGGAUAAACGCUGAAAGCAUCUAAGCGUGAAGCCCCCCUCAAGAUGAGAUUUCCCUUCCUUUAUGGAGUAAGGCCCCUUGAAGACUACAAGGUUGAUAGGCCAGGUGUGGAAGUGUAGCAAUGCAUGCAGCUGACUGGUACUAAUAGGCCGAGGGCUUGAUCAA
rnacentral:rRNA from 1 species